GAUGAACGCUAGCGGCAGGCCUAAUACAUGCAAGUCGGACGGGAUUUGGGAGCUUGCUCCUAAUGAGAGUGGCGCACGGGUGCGUAACACGUAUGUAACCUACCUUAAUCAGGGGGAUAGCCUCCCGAAAGAGAGAUUAACACCGCAUAAUAUAUUUUUAUGGCAUCGUAGAAAUAUCAAAUAUUUAUAGGAUUAAGAUGGGCAUGCGGAACAUUAGCUAGUUGGUAAGGUAACGGCUUACCAAGGCUACGAUGUUUAGGGGAUCUGAGAGGAUGACCCCCCACACUGGUACUGAGACACGGACCAGACUCCUACGGGAGGCAGCAGUAAGGAAUAUUGGUCAAUGGGCGCAAGCCUGAACCAGCCAUGCCGCGUGCAGGAAGACGGCCCUAUGGGUUGUAAACUGCUUUUGUACCGGAAUAAACCCUUUUACGUGUAGAAGGCUGAAUGUACGGUAAGAAUAAGGAUCGACUAACUCCGUGCCAGCAGCCGCCGUAAAAC
rnacentral:rRNA from 1 species